rnacentral:rRNA from 1 species
AUUGAACGCUGGCGGCAGGCCUAACACAUCCAAGUCGAGCGAGCGGCGGACGGGUGAGUAAUGUAUGGGGACUGCCCGAUAGAGGGGGAUAACUACUGGAAACGGUGGCUAAUACCGCAUACUAUCGGAUAACCCAUAUGGGAUUAGCUAGUAGGUGGGGUAAAGGCUCACCUAGGCGACGUUCGCUAGCUGCUCUGAGAGGAUGAUCAGCCGCACUGGUGCUGAGACACGGCCCAGACUCCUACGGAGGCAGCAGUGGGGAAUAUUGCACAAUGGGCGCAAGCCUGAUGCAGCCAUGACGCGUGUAUGAAUAAGGCCUUAGGGUUUUAAAGUACUUUCAGCGGUGAGGCGUUACGCGCAGAAGAAGCACCGUCGUACUCCGUAGCAGCAGCCGCAGUAAUAC